GGGGGUCUAGCUCAGCGGUGGAGCACGUGCUUCGCACGCACAAGGUUCUGGGUUCAAUCCCCAGCCCCUCCA
rnacentral:tRNA from 1 species